rnacentral:tRNA from 1 species
CGAGCUAUCCUUGUUGGGUUCUCUUUUACAUUGAGAUUUAUUUUCUGUUCAAAUCAGAAUGGCUUGA